UACGUAGGGACCAGCGUUGUCCGGAAUCAUUGGGCGUAAAGAGCGUGUAGGCGGCUUGUUAAGUCUUGCGUGAAAUCUCGGGGCUCAACCCCGAGCCGGUCGUGAGAAACUGGCAGGCUAGAGUGCGGGAGAGGAGAGUGGAAUUCCUGGUGUAGCGGUGAAAUGCGCAGAUAUCAGGAAGAACACCCGUGGCGAAGGCGGCUCUCUGGAACGCAACUGACGCUGAGACGCGAAAGCGUGGGGGAGCAAACAGG
rnacentral:rRNA from 1 species